UAAGAUAGCCGUGAUCAAUUGCCAAAGUUUGAAAGUCCCUGUUGGCAUUUUGAUGCAGCAAGGUUGUUUCUGUGUCUCGUGUGUAUUUCCACAAAGCGUCGGUUUUCUGGUUGAUGAUCAGCAGUUUACCGAUAGUUUCUAGCUUGUGGUAGUUAGUGCUUGUGUUGUGGUGAGCAGAUUGCCAUCGUUUCUGGUGGAUUCACGUUACGUUUUUCUUGUGGUAUCAUGUUAUACAACCUGGGUCCAAGAAAGAUAUGACUUCUCAGGUGUACUUUUAUCAAGAUUUUUACUGUUGGUAUGAUACUUGUGGCGGCAUCUGUGAUUCGGAGGUGAAACUGAAAGGAGGGAAGUUAGGUGACAUCUUUGGUCGAAUUUCAAUAACAAAAUCCUUCUCAAGCCAGACAAAUAUCCAGUUUUCAAAUCAUGGAAAACAAUAAUCAGCGGAUAUCUAAGCUAUCUUUGGAAGCAACUGAAAUUAGUUGAUGACAAGGAACCAACAAGUAAAAGAAAUUGAAUGUCCAGGAAAAUAUGUGCUGUCAUCCGGUUUCUACUUAGAAUUCUUGAUAUCCGAAGAAGAAGGCAUAAUUUUGAACUUUUUAAGAAAGGAGAUGAUGUGAAUUUGAACAUUCCUACCUGUGGAGUGGCAGAAACUGAAAAUAUAUCAGGGCGCAAAAGAAAUGUGUACCUGUAGGAAAAUGUUUGGAUCCUUAAAUUGAAUGUUAGUUUUUCAUACGCUGCUAUUGAAGGAAUUCACAUCGGCUACACUGUUGCUGGUUGCUGUGGCUCCUUUUCUUCGGAACAUGGCACGUUUGAAAUGGUUUCAAGAGAAUCUAUUCAGCUGAAAACUGAAAAAAUCAAGCUGGAAAGUGGUUCAAUGGUUGUGAAUACUGAAUGUUUUGAGGAAUGGUCUAGAGAAGGUCAGGAAUCACACGUUGAAAGGUAAGACCUCGUCUUAGCUCGCGUAAGU